UUUUCCGUUAGAAGAAACAGACCCAGAUGAAGAAGAUGAAGAGGAAGACCCCAAUGAGUUCAGCCAAAAACCAUAAAGAAGACCCUAUGAUAUGACCCGAUAAGCCAGGUCUCACCGACAUAAAGAUUCUCAACCGUACCAUGCUACCACAUCAAACACUAUACCAGGCUACUCUCCGUACCAGAUCAUUGUGCCAGGAUACUCUCCGUACCAGAACACUGUGCCACCGACAAAAAAGACAAACCAAACACUGUGCUACUGACUUGUUAAGACAAAUAUGUUACUAUUACAGAUGCUUCUUUAAGUCAGAUCAAACAUCUUUCUUUUCUUUAUGUCUUUUCUUUUUUUCUUUUCUUUUUCUUUAGUUCCAUCCGUGUCUCUUCGGCAUCUUCUUUUGUCAAGUCACUCUCAGCCUAAGUAUCCUCUUUCACCUAUAAAAGGAGGCAUACCUUCUCAUUCUCCUCAGGUCUCGGAGCUCUCGCAAGUCUCUCUGCUCUCUCUCUUCUCAUUGCUUCAAUCUCUCUGCUUUCUCUCUCUCUUCUCCUCGCUUCAGUCUGGUCUUUCCUCAUAGAUCUUCAUUUCUGCUCAAUUGCUCCAUCUUUGCUGUCUUGACCUCACAGCUUAUUCUAUCAGCUUGAAACCAUCUCAUGUUUUUCAGGUCCUCUAUCUUCCCUUUGCUUCAUCAUAACCAGGUUCUCUCUUAUCCUCUUAUUUGUAUUUCUCUGUUUUAUUAUAUGCGACUGUAACUUCCAUACACUCCCAUCGUAUUGUCCUCACACAUGGAAGUUGUUCUCCAGUUAUUGUAUAUGUAAGCUGUAAGUGUUUGUUUAUGCUUAAUUCCAUCAAGUUUGUAAUAUAAGUGUGUACUACUUAUGGUUUUUGUAACAAUCUAUAGUCGGUUUGGUAUUGUAAUAUAAUGCAAUUUAAAC
rnacentral:lncRNA from 1 species